rnacentral:rRNA from 1 species
UACAGAGGGGGCAAGCGUUGUUCGGAAUUACUGGGCGUAAAGGGCGCGUAGGCGGCCGCCUAAGUCAGACGUGAAAUCCCUCGGCUCAACCGGGGAACUGCGUCUGAUACUGGGUGGCUUGAAUUCGGGAGAGGGAUGCGGAAUUCCAGGUGUAGCGGUGAAAUGCGUAGAUAUCUGGAGGAACACCGGUGGCGAAGGCGGCAUCCUGGACCGGCAUUGACGCUGAGGCGCGAAAGCCAGGGGAGCAAACGGG